rnacentral:tRNA from 1 species
GCGCUUGUAGCUCAGAUGGAUAGAGCGUCGGAUUGCGGAUCCGAAGAUCGGGGGUUCGAGUCCCCCCAAGCGCA